rnacentral:lncRNA from 1 species
GCCGCGGCGCCUCGCCGCGCCUCCGCCGCCGCCCGUGCAGUGCGGGGCCAGCGGGGCUGCCCGAGUGCCGUCCGCCAAGCAGGCUCCCUACCUCCUGCGUGCCAGUAAGUUGACGGUAGUUUCAGAAGUUGGAGGAAGCCGUGGCAAGGAAAGAAAACCCGAGGUCAUUCCCCUGUUUCAUCAGCAGGACGCAACUCCAGAGUUGGGAAAGAGUGAUUUCAAGUUAUAGGCCAAGAAAGAAGAGAGAAUUUUCACUACCAUACCAUUUUGAAAGGACUACAUUGCCAGAAUUUUGGAUACAUUUUUGGACAUAAAUUUCUCCAAGGUAAAUAUUAUCAUUAUACCAGUAAGGGAGCACAUCAUUAGAAUUUACAAAUUGCUAUAGUACUGCGUAAAAUUUUAAUUGAGUUUUCGCUGAUACAAACUUUAGAAUGUUGGGAAAGAGAGCUGGAGAGAGGAGAAAGCAGAAUGUUUGGAGUAUCCUACAGUCUAUUCUAAAUGUGUUACCAAGAAAAUACAAUCAGGAUCUGGGAACUUA